GAUGAACGCUGGCGGUAUGCUUAACACAUGCAAGUCGAACGGACUCUUCGGAGUUAGUGGCGGACGGGUGAGUAACGCGUGAGAAUCUGGCUUUGGGUUCGGGACAACCACUGGAAACGGUGGCUAAUACCGGAUGUGCCGAAAGGUAAAAGAGAAAUUGCCUGAAGAUGAGCUCGCGUCUGAUUAGCUAGUUGGUGAGGUAAAGGCUCACCAAGGCAGCGAUCAGUAGCUGGUCUGAGAGGAUGACCAGCCACACUGGGACUGAGACACGGCCCAGACUCCUACGGGAGGCAGCAGUGGGGAAUUUUCCGCAAUGGGCGAAAGCCUGACGGAGCAAUACCGCGUGAGGGAAGAAGGCUCUUGGGUUGUAAACCUCUUUUCUUAGGGAAGAACAAAAUGACGGUACCUAAGGAAUCAGCAUCGGCUAACUCCGUG
rnacentral:rRNA from 1 species